rnacentral:tRNA from 1 species
GGUGAGCGUAGCUCAGCUGGUUAGAGCACCGGACUGUGGAUCCGGGGGUCGUGGGUUCAAGUCCCAUCGCUCACCCCA